rnacentral:rRNA from 1 species
UGAGGAACAUGACCUUCGGCGGGGGAUAGCCGGCCCAACGGUCGGGUAAUACCGCGUACGACCACAUGGGGACAUCCCUGAGUGGUGAAAGCAGCAAUGCGCCGAUGGAGUGCCUCGCGGCCUAUCAGCUAGUUGGUGAGGUAACGGCUCACCAAGGCAACGACGGGUANCUGGUCUGAGAGGAUGGCCAGCCACAUUGGGACUGAGACACGGCCCAGACCUCGUACGGGAGG